CCCUGUUAGUUUUUGAGGCACAGGACCUGAACGUAAACAGUACACGAAGGUUGCAGCAGCAGUUCAGAAGGCAAUCCAGUGCUACCCUGUCAUCUAUGAUGAGAAAAAAAGAGCUACUACCCAGACACCACUGGAUCGUUUUUUCAAGAGGGUAGGUAGAAUUGAAUCCAGCAAGGAACCAGAUCCUGUGCCAUCCACGUCAGGAGUGAGUGACAUUGCAGCUUGCGCUCCAUCUCCUAUUGCUGACGACCCUUCAGCUCUAACAUCUCCCACCUCCUCUCCCUCCUCCAGUCAGUAACUCUUCUGGCCUGUUCACUCGAUGCCAGACCCUGGAUGACAGCUGUCCUACUAUACAACUGUACUUUUCAAGGUUCGUCCUUUUCUCAUUGACUUGUAAGAGUUCUUCAUAUAUUCUGGAAACUAAUCCUCUGUCUACCUUUAUGCAGGCCUCUCACUGUUGU